rnacentral:lncRNA from 13 species
CACAUGGAAGUCACCAAGGCUUUUGGCUUGCAUCCUCUGAAGCAGCAGCCCAAGGUAUACCUGGGCCCCUUUGAGCCACAGAAUGGUUGACUGAAUAUUUUAAGCCUCUGUUGAGACCAAAACCUCAGAAGAUUUCUUCAAAAUACUACUGCUCAUUGACAGUACACUUGGUCACACAACGGGCUGUGAUGGAAAUGUACAAAGAAAUUUAUAUUGUUUUCAUCCUUGCUAACACAAAAUACAUUCUGAUCCCCAUGGAGCCAGGAGAAAUCUCGACUUUUCAAGUUUUUUUUAUUUAAGAAAUAUAUUUCAUAAGACUAUAGUUGCCAUAGAUAGUAAUUUGUCUGAUGGACCUGGGAAAACUAAAUUGAAAACCGUCUGCAACAGUUUCACUGUUAAAGAGGCCAUUGAAAACAUUUAGGAUACCUGUAUGAGGUCAAGAUAUUAACAUUAAUAUGAGUUUGAAAGAAGCGGAUUUUAAUCUUCGUGAAUGAUUUGAGGAGUUUAAGACUUUAU